GACGAACGCUGGCGGCGUGCUUAACACAUGCAAGUCGAACGGAAAGGCCCUGCUUUUGUGCCGUGCUCGUGUGGCGAACACGUGAGUAACACGUGUGUAACCUGCCCUUUUCUUUGGGAGAACUCCUGGGAACUGGGGCGCAUACCGCGUAUGAGCUCCUUCUGCAUGUGGUUUGUGGGUGAGUUUCGGCGUUUGGUGAGGGACUGGAGGGUCAUCACCGUGUUGGUGGGGUAGUGGCUUACCACGUCUUUGACGGGUAGCCGGCCUGCGAAGGUGACCGGCCACAUUGGGACUGAGAUACGGCCCAGACUCCUACGGGAGGCAGCAGGGGGGAAUAGUGCACAAUGGGCGGAAGCCUGAUGCAGCAACGCCGGGUGCGGAAUGACGGCUUUCGGGUUGUAAACCGCUUUCGACUGUGACGAAGAGUAAGUGACGGUAACGGGUCAAGAAGCAACGGCUAACUACGUG
rnacentral:rRNA from 1 species